rnacentral:tRNA from 2 species
NGAGCAGCCUGGUAGCUCGUCGGGCUCAUAACCCGAAGGUCGUCGGUUCAAAUCCGGCCCCCGCAACCA